GCCGAAAUAGCUCAGUUGGCAGAGCGCUAGACUGAAGAUCUAAAGGACCCUGCUUUGAUCCUGGGUUUUGGCA
rfam:Danio rerio chromosome 4, GRCz11 reference primary assembly.